rnacentral:rRNA from 1 species
AUUGAACGCUGGCGGCAGGCCUAACACAUGCAAGUCGAGCGGAUGAAGGGAGCUUUCUCCUGGAUUCAGCGGCGGACGGGUGAGUAAUGCCUAGGAAUCUGCCUGGCAGUGGGGGAUAACGUCCGGAAACGGGCGCUAAUACCGCAUACGUCCUGAGGGAGAAAGUGGGGGAUCUUCGGACCUCACGCUAUCAGAUGAGCCUAGGUCGGAUUAGCUAGUUGGUGGGGUAAAGGCCUACCAAGGCGACGAUCCGUAACUGGUCUGAGAGGAUGAUCAGUCACACUGGAACUGAGACACGGUCCAGACUCCUACGGGAGGCAGCAGUGGGGAAUAUUGGGCAAUGGGCGAAAGCCUGAUCCAGCCAUGCCGCGUGUGUGAAGAAGGUCUUCGGAUUGUAAAGCACUUUAAGUUGGGAGGAAGGGCAGUAAGUUAAUACCUUGCUGUUUUGACGGUACCAACAGAAUAAGCACCGGCUAACUUCGUG